UUCAGCCGGAGUCUGCAGGGGGCCGAGCGCCACGGUCUGAGGUUCUGUCAGGCCUCCCGGGCGUUCUCCAGCCUCUCCCGGGCGUUCUCCAGCCUCUCCCGGGCGUUCUCCAGCCUCUCCCGGGCGUUCUCCAGCCUCUCCCGGGCGUUCUGCAGCCUCUCCCGGGCGUUCUCCAGCCCUCUCGGGCGUUCUACAGCCUCUCCUGGGCGUUCUGCAGCCUCUCCCGGGCGUUCUCCAGCCUCUCCCGGGCGUUCUACAGCCUCUCCCGGGCGUUCUCCAGCCCUCUCGGGCGUUCUACAGCCUCUCCCGGGCGUUCUGCAGCCUCUCCCCGGCGUUCUCCAGCCUCUCCUGCGUUCUCCCGUCCCAGGCAGCAGGAUAACCCAACGGUGACCAUUUCUCCGGGCUGCAAAGAUUGAAUCAUGAAUUGGCAUCCAUCAAAUGCAGCAAUUUUGCAGUUAUCUAUCGUAACAGCUGCUUUUCUUAGCUGCUAGAAGACCUAAUGCUUACUGGAUCCAUAUGUUUUAGAGGUAAGAUAUUUAGAUGAAUAUCUGGUUCUAACUCACAUACUAAGU